CACACACCACUUCAUCAUAGAUCUGUGGGGGUUUCCCCAUUAAACAAAAAACAACAACCACCACCCCUAAACAUUUUAAUCUUUCCUAGCUGGGAAGAUGCUUCAGCCCCUUGACAUCCUCUCCCACUGGCCACCUGAGAUGAUCAAGAGACAAAAGAAACACAACAAGAUGUCUGACAUAGCAACAUCUCACAUUGUAUCAGAUGAACAAAGAGCAGAUACUUACACUGCUCUCUGGAUAAAUGUAGCUGUGAAUUGCCUCUGAAGAGGACCACUGCCUCAAAACACCAUGGGUAGGCGUUGCUGGGCGUCAUCUGAUGGGUUCAGAAGAAAGACGGGUAGAGAAAGAGGCUGUGACCAGUGGAAGGAGGAGAUGACUGUAGGAAGGAAAGAUACGUCUGUCCAGAGGACCACCUUGUCUUUGUGGAA